UACAGAAUACCUCAUAUGAGUAGAGCUUUUUUUCGAUCAUUUUCUCGGAGCUAGUUCUUCUCCCCUUUUUGUUGACCUUCUUUCAGCUUGCCGUUGCAUUUUAGGUUUUUUUUUUUUUUUUCCUAAUUCUUCAGCUUCCAUUCAUCUUGAUUUAGAUUUCCUCCCUCACUUCUUUUUUUAGAUUUCCUACCUCACUUCUUUCUUACCAUCUUAGGAGGAAGAACCUCAUCACUAUUCAUCACUUCUGGCUGAUGAUUCGGAGU
rnacentral:lncRNA from 1 species